GGCCUUCUCUUUGGCGAGUCGAUCAUACCUCCUCUUCCAGAACUUAGAAGACUGAGGAAGUAGAGAAGUUCAUACAUCAUCAGGGUCAUCAAUAACCUGAUGCUCAAGAAACUCAAUCAACGCAUCCUUAUCCUUAAUCUGCUGAAGCAACUCUUCACGUUCACGGAUCCAGGCACGUGAACGGUCUUCGUCUCUCAACUCC
rnacentral:lncRNA from 1 species